rnacentral:rRNA from 1 species
GAUGAACGCUAGCGGCAGGCUUAAUACAUGCAAGUCGAGGGGCAGCAUGAUUGUAGCAAUACAAUUGAUGGCGACCGGCAAACGGGUGCGGAACACGUACACAACCUCCCAAUAAGUGGGGAAUAGCCCAGAGAAAUUUGGAUUAAUACCCCGUAACAUAACGAUGUGGCAUCACAUUGUUAUUAUAGAUUUUUCGCUUAUUGAUGGGUGUGCGGCUGAUUAGAUAGUUGGCGGGGUAACGGCCCACCAAGUCUACGAUCAGUAGCUGAUGUGAGAGCAUGAUCAGCCACACGGGCACUGAGACACGGGCCCGACUCCUACGGGAGGCAGCAGUAAGGAAUAUUGGACAAUGGACGCAAGUCUGAUCCAGCCAUGCCGCGUGAAGGAUUAAGGUCCUCUGGAUUGUAAACUUCUUUUAUAAGGGACGAAAAAAGGCUUUUCUAAGUCGUCUGACGGUACCUUAUGAAUAAGCACCGGCUAACUCCGUGCCAGCCGCCGCGGUAAAAC